rnacentral:rRNA from 1 species
GACGAACCGUGCGAACGUUAUUCGGAAUCACUGGGCUUAAAGGGCGCGUAGGCGGGUCGGUAAGUCAGGGGUGAAAUCCCACGGCCCAACCGUGGAAGUGCCUCUGAUACUGCCGGCCUCGAGGGGGAUAGGGGCGUGCGGAACUCAGGGUGGAGCGGUGAAAUGCGUAGAUAUCGUCUGGAACGCCAGCGGUGAAAACAGACUGCUGGGAGUGUGCUGACGCUGAGACACGAAAGCCAGGGGAGCAAACGGG